rnacentral:rRNA from 1 species
UACGUAGGGUGCAGGCGUUAAUCGGAAUUACUGGGCGUAAAGCGUGCGCAGGCGGUUUGCUAAGACAGGUGUGAGAUCCCCGGGCUUAACCUGGGAACUGCGCUUGUAACUGGCAAGCUUGAGUGUGGCAGAGGGGGGUGGAAUUCCACGUGUAGCAGUGAAAUGCGUAGAGAUGUGGAGGAACACCGAUGGCGAAGGCAGCCCCCUGGGCUAACACUGACGCUCAUGCACGAAAGCGUGGGGAGCAAACAGG